AGGGAAAUAGCUCAGUGGUAGAGCCCAUGCUUAGCACACAUGAGGUCUUGGGUUCAAUCCCCAGUAUCUCCA
rnacentral:tRNA from 1 species